rnacentral:rRNA from 1 species
GCGUGGGUGAAGAAGGCCUUAGGGUUGUAAAGCCCUUUCAGUCGUGACGAUGAUGACGGUAGCGACAGAAGAAGCCCCGGCUAACUCCGUGCCAGCAGCCGCGGUAAUACGGAGGGGGCAAGCGUUGUUCGGAUUUACUGGGCGUAAAGGGCGCGUAGGCGGACGAUCAAGUCAGAGGUGAAAGGCCCGGGCUCAACCUGGGACGUGCCUUUGAAACUGGUUGUCUUGAGUGCGGGAGAGGGUGACGGAAUUCCCAGUGUAGAGGUGAAAUUCGU